rnacentral:rRNA from 1 species
UCAGACGAUGCGUCAUGCAUAUCAAUAAGCGGAGGAAAAGAAACUAACAAGGAUUCCCCUAGUAACGGCGAGUGAAGCGGGAAGAGCUCAAAUUUGAAAUCUUAAAGGGUUUCCCUUUACGAAUUGUAGUUUAAAGAAGUGCUUUCUGUUGAGGUUUUGGUAAAAGUUCUUUGGAAUAGGACAUCAUAGAGGGUGAGAAUCCCGUAUUUGACCUUUACUUUCAACUUUGUGAUACACUUUCAAAGAGUCGGAUUGUUUGGGAAUGCAGUCCAAAAUGGGUGGUAAAUUUCAUCUAAAGCUAAAUAUUGGCGAGAGACCGAUAGCGAACAAGUACCGUGAGGGAAAGAUGAAAAGAACUUUGAAAAGAGAGUUAAACAGUACGUGAAAUUGUCAAAAGGGAAGCGUUUGACACCAGUGUUGUUUUUCUGAAAAUCAAUUAAAGAACUGUUUAUACUAAGCUGUUUAGACUUUAUCAGCUAUCUGUUUAGUUUUGAGCUUUUCUUUAAUGCACUUAUCAGUUAACAAGUCAACAUCAAUUUCUUUUGCUGUAAAAAAGCUUGAGGAAGGUGGCUUGAGAUUCGUCUUAAGUGUUUAUAGCCUCUUGCCUAUGCAGUCGGAGAGAUUGAGGUCUGCAGCGUAGAUCCUUCGGGGCUAAAUGCAUUUGUGCUAAGUUAUAGCAUUUUAUAGACAACUUGUUGACUAUGAUUUGUCUUGUAGCUUACUCGCUUAUGUUAUUUUACCUACGCUUAGGAUGUUGAAUCUGUGCGAGACUAC